rnacentral:tRNA from 1 species
GGAGGCGAAACGCACUCCCCGGAUAAGCAUGUAGAGACUGUGGCUGAAGGCUUCCGGACGUGGGUUCGAUUCCCACCGCCUCCA